GUGUGGCUCAGACGGAGCAAGGGUUACAUCAAGGCUGUUCUCUGGACCAUGCAAACAGUCUAGACCAAUGACCUGCAGCUUCAUGCCCUUUGAAGAAGAGGCAAGUUCGGUCAUGAUGAAGAAAAAUCAAGGCGUACCCCUUUUAACAAUAGGGAGCAGCUCGAGGCUGCAAAGAGGUUAUUUAUCAUUAAAAUGGCAUUGUAAAGGGAUGACUCAGAAGUUAACAGUGACUUUCCUGACCUGGGGAUCGAAUCAGCAUUUCCUGCGUUGGCAGGCAGUUUCUUUGCCACUGAACCACCUGGAAGACCCCACAGUUUUAUAUAGUUAAAAAUAAA